AUUGAACGCUGGCGGCAGGCCUAACACAUGCAAGUCGAACGGUAACAGGAUACAGCUUGCUGUUUCGCUGACGAGUGGCGGACGGGUGAGUAAUGUCUGGGAAACUGCCUGAUGGAGGGGGAUAACUACUGGAAACGGUAGCUAAUACCGCAUAACGUCGCAAGACCAAAGAGGGGGACCUUCGGGCCUCUUGCCAUCGGAUGUGCCCAGAUGGGAUUAGCUAGUAGGUGGGGUAAAGGCUCACCUAGGCGACGAUCCCUAGCUGGUCUGAGAGGAUGACCAGCCACACUGGAACUGAGACACGGUCCAGACUCCUACGGGAGGCAGCAGUGGGGAAUAUUGCACAAUGGGCGCAAGCCUGAUGCAGCCAUGCCGCGUGUAUGAAGAAGGCCUUCGGGUUGUAAAGUACUUUCAGCGGGGAGGAAGGGAGUAAAGUUAAUACCUUUGCUCAUUGACGUUACCCGCAGAAGAAGCACCGGCUAACUCCGUG
rnacentral:rRNA from 1 species